GAGCUGGCGGCAGGCCUAACACAUGCAAGUCGAGCGGCAGCGACAACAUUGAACCUUCGGGGGAUUUGUUGGGCGGCGAGCGGCGGACGGGUGAGUAAUGCCUGGGAAUAUGCCCUGAUGUGGGGGAUAACCAUUGGAAACGAUGGCUAAUACCGCAUAAUCUCUUCGGAGCAAAGAGGGGGACCUUCGGGCCUCUCGCGUCAGGAUUAGCCCAGGUGAGAUUAGCUUGUUGGUGAGGUAAGAGCUCACCAAGGCGACGAUCUCUAGCUGGUCUGAGAGGAUGAUCAGCCACACUGGAACUGAGACACGGUCCAGACUCCUACGGGAGGCAGCAGUGGGGAAUAUUGCACAAUGGGGGAAACCCUGAUGCAGCCAUGCCGCGUGUAUGAAGAAGGCCUUCGGGUUGUAAAGUACUUUCAGUUGUGAGGAAGGCGUAUGCGUUAAUAGCGUAUGUGUUUGACGUUAGCAACAGAAGAAGCACCGGCUAACUCCGUGCCAGCAGCCGCGGUAAUACGGAGGGUGCGAGCGUUAAUCGGAAUUACUGGGCGUAAAGCGCAUGCAGGCGGCUUGUAAAGCCAGAUGUGAAAGCCCGGGGCUCAACCUCGGAAUAGCAUUUGGAACUGGCAGGCUAGAGUCUUGUAGAAGGGGGGUAGAAUUUCAGGUGUAGCGGUGAAAUGCGUAAAAAAUCUGAAGGAUACCGGUGGCGAAGGCG
rnacentral:rRNA from 1 species